rnacentral:rRNA from 1 species
GAUGCGACCUCAGCUCAGGCGGGGCCACCCGCUGAGUUUAAGCAUAUCAAUAAGCGGAGGAAAAGAACUAACA